UCUCCGUUGGUGAACCAGCGGAGGGAUCAUUACCGAGUUUACAACUCCCAAACCCGAUGUGAACCAUACCAAACUGUUGCCUCGGCGGGGUCACGCCCCGGGUGCGUCGCAGCCCCGGAACCAGGCGCCCGCCGGAGGGACCAACCAAACUCUUUCUGUAGUCCCCUCGCGGACGUUAUUUUUACAGCUCUGAGCAAAAAUUCAAAAUGAAUCAAAACUUUCAACAACGGAUCCCUUGGUUCUG
rnacentral:misc_RNA from 1 species